rnacentral:rRNA from 1 species
UCUGGCUCAGGACGAACGCUGGCGGCGUGCUUAACACAUGCAAGUCGAACGGUCCAAAGCUUAACACCGAGAACAUACUGCUUAAAGGCAGGACGGUGGCGAAGUGAAACGAGCCAUCACGCAUACAUAAAGUGAUUAUCAAGCAAAAUGUUUUGGGUGUUGAGCAUUGGAUAGUGGCGAACGGGUGAGUAACGCGUAGGCAAUCUGCCUUCUAGAUGGGGACAACAUCCCGAAAGGGGUGCUAAUACCGAAUGUUGUAUGAUCUUCGCAUGGAGAUGAUACUAAAGGUGGCCUCUGAAUAUGCUACCGCUAGAAGAUGAGCCUGCGUCUGAUUAGCUAGUUGGAGGGGUAACGGCCCACCAAGGCUUCGAUCAGUAGCCGGUCUGAGAGGAUGAACGGCCACACUGGGACUGAGACACGGCCCAGACUCCUACGGGAGGCAGCAGUGGGGAAUCUUCCGCAAUGGACGAAAGUCUGACGGAGCAACGCCGCGUGAGUGAAGAAGGUUUUCGGAUCGUAAAGCUCUUUCGUUAGGGACGAACGUGCUCUUUGUGAAUAAUGAGGAGUAAUGACGGUACCUAAAUAAGAAGCCACGGCUAACU